UACCCGCGGCCCGAGUGGUGCUCAUUAUUAUUGAGCUUAAAGCGUCCGUAGCCGGCCUCGUAAAUCCUUGGGUAAAUCGGGCAGCUUAACUGUUCGAAUUCCGAGGAGACUGCGAGGCUCGGGACCGGGAGAGGUUCGAGGUACUCUCGGGGUAGGGGUAAAAUCCUGUAAUCCUGAGAGGACCACCAGUGGCGAAGGCGUCGAACUAGAACGGAUCCGACGGUGAGGGACGAAGCCCUGGGGCG
rnacentral:rRNA from 1 species